rnacentral:misc_RNA from 1 species
GGUGAAGAACGUAGUGAAAUGCGAUACGUAGUGUGAAUUGCAGAAUUCAGUGAAUCAUCGAAUCUUUGAACGCACAUUGCACCUCUCGGUAUUCCGGGAGGUAUGCCUGUUCGAGCGUCAUUUGUACCCUCAAGCUCUGCUUGGUGUUGGGUGUUUGUUCCGCCUCUGUGUGUGAACUCGCCUCAAAACAAUUGGCAGCCGGCGUACUUGUUUCGGAGCGCAGCACAUUUUGCGAUCCAGAUCAACGUACAGCGGCAUCCAAGAAGCCUUAUUUAACGCUCUUGACCUCGGAUCAGGUAGGGAUACCCGCUGAACUUAAGCAUAUCAAUAAGCGGAGGA